rnacentral:rRNA from 1 species
GAUGAACGCUGGCGGCGUGCCUAAUACAUGCAAGUCGAGCGAACAGACGAGGAGCUUGCUCCUUCGACGUUAGCGGCGGACGGGUGAGUAACACGUAGGUAACCUACCUCUAAGACUGGGAUAACUUCGGGAAACCGGAGCUAAUACCGGAUAAUAUUUCGAACCGCAUGGUUCGAUAGUGAAAGAUGGCUUUGCUAUCACUUAUAGAUGGACCUGCGCCGUAUUAGCUAGUUGGUAAGGUAACGGCUUACCAAGGCAACGAUACGUAGCCGACCUGAGAGGGUGAUCGGCCACACUGGAACUGAGACACGGUCCAGACUCCUACGGGAGGCAGCAGUAGGGAAUCUUCCGCAAUGGGCGAAAGCCUGACGGAGCAACGCCGCGUGAGUGAUGAAGGUCUUCGGAUCGUAAAACUCUGUUAUUAGGGAAGAACAAACGUGUAAGUAACUGUGCACGUCUUGACGGUACCUAAUCAGAAAGCCACGGCUAACUACGUG